UAACACAUGCAAGUCGAGCGAAGCAGUUUCCUUGUAGUUUUCGGAUGGAUUUGAGAUUGACUUAGCGGCGGACGGGUGAGUAACGCGUGGGUAACCUGCCUUACACUGUCGGAUAACAGUUAGAAAUGACUGCUAAUACCGCAUAAGCGCACAGGGCCGCAUGGUCCGGUGUGAAAAACUCCGGUGGUGUAAGAUGGACCCGCGUCUGAUUAGGUAGUUGGUGGGGUAACGGCCCACCAAGCCGACGAUCAGUAGCCGACCUGAGAGGGUGACCGGCCACAUUGGGACUGAGACACGGCCCAAACUCCUACGGGAGGCAGCAGUGGGGAAUAUUGGACAAUGGGCGAAAGCCUGAUCCAGCGACGCCGCGUGAGUGAAGAAGUAUUUCGGUAUGUAAAGCUCUAUCAGCAGGGAAGAAAAUGACGGUACCUGACUAAGAAGCCCCGGCUAACUACGUGCCAGCAGCCGCGGUAAUACGUAGGGGGCAAGCGUUAUCCGGAUUUACUGGGUGUAAAGGGAGCGUAGACGGUUUAGCAAGUCUGAAGUGAAAGCCCGGGGCUCAACCCCGGUACUGCUUUGGAAACUGUUAGACUUGAGUGCAGGAGAGGUAAGUGGAAUUCCUAGUGUAGCGGUGAAAUGCGUAGAUAUUAGGAGGAACCCCAGUGGCGAAGGCGGCUUACUGGACUGUAACUGACGUUGAGGCUCGAAAGCGUGGGGAGCAAACAGGAUUAGAUACCCUGGUAAUCCACGCCGUAAACCAAGAAUACAAGGUGUCGGGGGGGCAAAACCCUUCCGGGCCGCCCCAAACCCAAAAAAGUAUUCCACCUGGGGAGUUCGUUCGCAAGAAUGGAACUCAAAGGAAUUGACGGGGACCCGCACAAGGCGGUGGGGCAUGUGGUUUAAUUGGAAGCAACGCGAAGAACCUUACCAAGUCUUGACAUCCCAUUGAAAAUCAUUUAACCGUGAUCCCUCUUCGGAGCAGUGGAGACAGGUGGUGCAUGGUUGUCGUCAGCUCGUGUCGUGAGAUGUUGGGUUAAGUCCCGCAACGAGCGCAACCCUUAUCCUUAGUAGCCAGCGAGUAGAGUCGGGCACUCUGGGGAGACUGCCAGGGAUAACCUGGAGGAAGGUGGGGAUGACGUCAAAUCAUCAUGCCCCUUAUGAUUUGGGCUACACACGUGCUACAAUGGCGUAAACAAAGGGAAGCAAAGGAGCGAUCCGGAGCAAACCCCAAAAAUAACGUCUCAGUUCGGAUUGCAGGCUGCAACUCGCCUGCAUGAAGCUGGAAUCGCUAGUAAUCGCGAAUCAGAAUGUCGCGGUGAAUACGUUCCCGGGUCUUGUACACACCGCCCGUCACACCAUGGGAGUUGGUAACGCCCGAAGUCAGUGACCCAACCGAAAGGAGGGAGCUGCCGAAGGCGGGACUGAUAACUGGGG
rnacentral:rRNA from 1 species